rnacentral:lncRNA from 1 species
CAAUCAUUUCCCUGUGGAUAUGCCCUUUGCAUCUAAGUUAAUUGCAACAUCUCUUCUCUGCCUAUGCACGUGUGAUACUUUGACUCUCUUUGAAUCAGUUGAAAGAAACAGCUUACUCAUUAUUAAUAAGUAAGAUACAAUUGUUACAAGCAUUAUUUUUAUAUCUAUAUAACAGACAUCAUUAUGUCCUCUUUAAAAAAAUAAUAUUUUAACAAUUUAGGGCAUCAUGGAGUGCAGUGCCCAGUGGACUCAUCAGACAAAGAAGGGUAAAGUCUGUUACCAGAAAAGUAAGUGCACCUCGCAGGUGGCUUCAGCCCACGGAUCUCUUAUCUGGCUCACAAACGUCAAUCCCAAAUGAUGAUAGAACUGGAUGAGUAUAUGACUCAGGCCUGGCCAGAAAUACUGCAUCCCACAGUGACUGACUCAGAAUGGACACAGACUCAAUUAGAGCCCAUAAGGAACCAUGAGUCUUAUGCAGGACCUGAGAAAGAGGCGCACUUCUUCUGCUGAAUUGUAUCCAAGUAUCCUCACUUUGAACUUGCUGACUGGCAUGUUCCCAUCACAUGAAGCUUGAGAAUGAAGAACACAGAAGAAUGGGGCUAAGAGACUGAGGGAAACUGAGUUUUGCUGACAUCAUCCGAGCCUCUGUCUAACCCAGCUGCCUGACUACAACCCUAAUCCCAGACUUGUCCAACACGAGUCAAUACGUUGUGUUUUCUUAAAUCCAAAUGACUUCUCCCACACAAGGAGUUCAUUGACCCUGGCUGCUGCUUCUCUGCUUUUCCAGAACUCACUCCCACACUGAGAGCAUUGAUCCAUAAAGGAGGGCAGAGCCAUCAUGACCCCAUCACCUCUUACAGGUGCGAUCUCUUACCACUGUUGCACUGGGGAUUAGGUUUCCAAAACAUGAACAUUGGCAGCCACAUUGAAACCAUAGCAGGCUCCAAAGCCAGAGCCCCCUUCCCUACUGAUUCUAGUACAGUUCUUGCUAUUAAAAUCCUUCCUGGGGUAUACUCCUAUGAGCAAGAGCCUGUGACAUGGAACCUGGAUACACAGAGAAAUGUGUGGUCCCAGCA